UGGAUCCCCGGACUAAAUUUUAGUCCCUGUCACAUCGAAUGUUUGGACACUAAUUAGGAGUAUUAAACAUAGGCUAAUUACAAAACCAAUUUCACAACCCCUAGGCUAAAUCACGAGACGAAUCUAUUAAGCCUAAUUAGUCCAUGAUUUGACACUAUGGUGCUACAGUAAACAUUCGCUAAUGAUGGAUUAAUUAGGCUUAAUAGAUUCGUCUCGCGAUUUAGCCUAGGGGUUCUGCAAUUAGUUUUGUAAUUAGCUCAUGUUUAGUCCUCCUAAUUAGCAUCCGAAUAUCCGAUGUGACACAGACUAAACUUUAGCUCCAGGAUCCAAACACCCCUUAAAACAAUAUUGGUGAAGUCUGCACCUAGCAUUCUAUUGUAUUUUUCUUUCUCUUUACGAAAAAUAAGGCUAGUUAUACAAGAGAAUAUUGCCGACUAUGCGCACUUUAAGGACGUGAAUCAUACAAGCUCUCUCCUUAAAACAAGACAUUCAGCUAUCAUUUGAAGAGAUUAGAGGCAUAUGCUGCAAUCAUGAAUCAGUGCGGCACUCAUAUUUUCCGUGCAUGUACGGAUGUGGAUUUGACUAAUGUUCACUUUGCUCUCAUGGUUCUAGUCUCCCACUCAUGAUCAGUCUCACGCAUGCAUGCAUGCAUGCAAAAGUUUGAUAGAUAAAAGAGAGAUGGAAAAAAGUGAUUCCGUGGAAGUCGAUUUGAUUUUGGGAAAAAAAAUCUUUCCCGUCCAAACAUGACUAGAUCUUAAAAUUCAUUGCUUUGCC
rnacentral:lncRNA from 1 species